rnacentral:rRNA from 1 species
UACGUAGGGUGCGAGCGUUGUCCGGAAUUAUUGGGCGUAAAGGGCUCGUAGGCGGUUUGUCGCGUCGGGAGUGAAAUCCACUGGCUUAACUGGUGGCUUGCUUUCGAUACGGGCAGACUGGAGGUAUGCAGGGGGAGAACGGAAUUCCUGGUGUAGCGGUGAAAAUGCGCAGAUAUCAGGAGGAACACCGGUGGCGAAGGCGGCCAACUGGGGCCCGACCCCUGACGCUGAGGGCGCGAAGGCGUGGGGGGAGCGAACGGG